rnacentral:rRNA from 1 species
AAGAUUAAGCCAUGCACAUUGCCAUAUAAGCAAAAGUGCAAUAUUAUGAAUGGCUCAGUAAAACAGUGACACCUUAUAUGACAACUCCUGUAAAUGGAUAGCCAUGGCAAUCCAAGAACUAAUACAUGUGCCAAAUCAUUGUUUGCGUGACUUGAUGUUGUUUACUAUGAACAGAGCCACCCGGGGUUGUACUGGGUCUGAGAUGAAUUGUGAUACCUGAGAGAAUUGUGCAGCAUCCGACAGCAGGGAGUCAUUCAAACCUCUGACCUAUCAGCUUUUGAUGAUAAGGUAUUGGCAUACCAUGGCAAUGACAGGUAACGGCGAAUUAAGGUUUUGUUCCGGAGAGGGAGCCUGAGAGAUGGCUACCACAUCCAAGGAUGGCAGCAGGUGCGCAAAUUACCCAAUUUGGAUGUAGUGAGGUAGUGACAAGAAAUGACAAUGCAGGGCAAUGAUGUCUUGUAAUCGGAAUGAAUAGAACUUUCAGUCUUCUAUGAGCAACAAUUGGAGGGCAAGUCUGGUGCCAGCAGCCGCGGUAAUUCCAGCUCCAUUAGUGUACAUUAAAUUUGUUGCAGUUGAAAAGCUCGUAGUUGGAUGUGUGCCAAUACUACCUGGUCCAUCUUCUAGUUGAGCAUCAGCGCAUUAAUAGCAAGUGUUUGAGCAUUAUGGCUGCACUUCACUGUGUGCCACCAUGCUCAAGUUUGCAACCUUGAUGAAUUUAUGGUGCUUCAAGCAGGCAGAAGCCUUGGAUAUACUAGCAUGGAAUAGCUUGAUUAUGCCUUAGUUAUAAUUCUGGCUCCUGGACAUGGGUAAUGAUGGAUAGGGACUCUUGCGGGCAUACAGACUCAACUUGAAGAGGUGAAAUUCUGAGAUUUGUUGAAGAUGUCCCACUGUGAAAGCAUUUGUCAAGAAUGUGCCCAUUGAUCAAGAAUGAAAGUUCAGGGCUUGAAGAUGAUUAGAUACCGUCAUAAUCUGAACCAUAAACGAUGCCAACUAAAGAUUGGAAGCCGUCACUUUGUUGAUGCCUUCAGCACUUUCUGAGAAAUCAAAGUUUCUGGGCUCUGGGGGGAGUAUGGUUGCAAGACUCAAACUUAAAGGAAUUGACGGAAGGGCACCAUCAGAAGUGGAGCUUGCGGCUUAAUUUGACUCAACACGUGAAAAUUCACCGGGCCCAGACAUGGCAAGGAUUGACGCACUAGUAGCUCCUUCUUGAUCCCAUGGGUGGUGGUGCAUGGCCGUUCUUAGUUGGUGGAGUGGUCUGUCUGGUUAAUUCCGUGAACGAACGAGAUCUCUACCUGCUAAAUUGUGCUAUGUAGCUUUGGUUAUUUGACGCACCUCUUAGAGGAACCCUGUGUUUCUACCACACGGAAGCCUGAGGCAAUAACAGGUCUGUGAUGCCCUUGGAUGCACUGGGCUGCACGCGUGCUACACUGAUGCCUGUCACAAGUGCUCUAUUUUGCCUGUAAUGGUAGGGGAAUUAUUUCAAUUUCACCAUGGCAGGGAUUGAAGAUUGCAACUAUUCAUCCUCAACAAGGAACUCCUAGUAAGUGUAAGUCAUCAGCUUGUGCUGACUAUGUCCCUGCCCUUUGUACACACCGCCCGUCGCUCCUACUGAUUGAGUGCUCCGGUGAAUAAUUUGGACGUAGAGGUGUUGAUAUCCAGCAACAGCUGUAUAAAAUUUGAUGAGCCUUAUCACUUAGAGGAAGGAGAAGUCGUAACAAGGUUU